rnacentral:rRNA from 1 species
CUUUACAAUGCGGGCAACCGUGAUAAGGGAACCUCGAGUGCCUGUACAUGCAGGCUGUUCAGGUGUCUAAAACACACCUGAAGAAAGGGCCGGGCAAGACCGGUGCCAGCCGCCGCGGUAAUACCGGCGGCUCGAGUGGUGGCCACUUUUAUUGGGCUUAAAGCGUUCGUAGCCGGUUUGGUCAGUCCUCCGGGAAAUCUGAUGGCUUAACUAUUAGGCUUUCGGGGGAUACUGCCAGACUUGGAACCGGAGAGGUAAGAGGUACUACAGGGUAGGAGUGAAAUCUUGUAAUCCCUGUGAGACCACCUGUGGCGAAGGCGUCUUACCAGAACGGGUUCGACGGUGAGGGACGAAAGCUGGGGGCACGAACCGGAUUAGAUACCCC